rnacentral:tRNA from 1 species
GGGCCCUUAGCUCACUUGGUUAGAGCGCACCCUCUGAUAAGGGUGAGGCCGGUGGUUUCGAGUCCACCAGGGUCCA